CACGUCUGCCAAAGACAUUGCGAAACCGCUACUGAGUCCGAUCCGAGCGGACUGCAAUCUCGGUAGGAGCUGAGCAGGGUUGACGAUGGCAGCCAACCUGACAGCUAACGUUUGCUAAUUAACCUGCGCAAAGCAGACUGAAUAGAUCAACCAAAUGUCCGCAGGCUACUUGAUGGAACAGAUUACCCUCUAUCAGAGCACUCCCGGUACUAAUCUGUGAUUGCAAUCCUCCACAGUGAUGCAUCUGUGCUGCUUCACCUGGUCCAGCAGUUCCUGGCGCGGUCAACUCUCAACUAACGUUAGCUAGCCAGCUACUAGCUAGCUGGGUUAGCUUGCAAGUUUAGAAUUGCUAUUUAGCUCCAGUCAAGUAGCUAAGCUUCAUGUUAGCAGGCAACUCUCCAGUCACUGUGACAAGCCCUGUCCCGUAGGACCAGAGAGAAACUGGCUUUUGUAAUGAUUAGAUAGCUAACAAAAAUAACAUGCACACUGUCAAGACGCUCCCAGUGUGUUGAUAAAGGAGAAGGUGGUUCAGCAGAGCUAAUUUAGCUGCAGAGAAAUGGAUCUCCUGUUAUUUCAGAUGAGGGGGAACCACUCAUGCAUUAACCUGGAGUACCCCUUUUACAGAGCGGCAGAAAAGGCUUGGAUUGGCUACCUGUUAAGAAAGAAGUUGGAAGGAACUAAACGUUAAAACAGAAAACAUAUGAAUUUAUAGAUAGAAUAUGAUAUGCUGGGACAAAUUUAAUUUAAAUAAAUUUAAAUGCCUUUUAAAAUCAUUUUGGACUAGCAAUUGAUUAGUGGACAAUAAAUAUUUUUUGUAAUUAUUGCCGUUAUUGCAGUGGUACACUACAGCCUCCAUAAAACAUACUUACAGAUGACUAAUGCCAGCUCUUUUCUUUGGACAAGUGU